UGGGGAAUAUUGCACAAUGGAGGGAACUCUGAUGCAGCGACGCCGCGUGAACGAAGAAGGCUUUCGAGUCGUAAAGUUCUUUUAUAUGGGAAGAUAAUGACGGUACCAUAAGAAAAGGCCCCGGCUAACUACGUGCCAGCAGCCGCGGUAAUACGUAGGGGGCUAGCGUUGUCCGGAAUCACUGGGCGUAAAGGGUUCGCAGGCGGAAAUGCAAGUCAGGUGUAAAAGGCAGUAGCUUAACUACUGUAAGCAUUUGAAACUGCAUAUCUUGAGAAGAGUAGAGGUAAGUGGAAUUUUUAGUGUAGCGGUGAAAUGCGUAGAUAUUAAAAAGAAUACCGGUGGCGAAGGCGACUUACUGGGCUCAUUCUGACGCUGAGGAACGAAAGCGUGGGUAGCAAACAGG
rnacentral:rRNA from 3 species